rnacentral:rRNA from 1 species
AUGACGUCAAGUCAGCAUCGCCUUAUGCCUUGGGCUACACACACGCUACAAUGGACUACACAAUUGGUUGCAAGAGCGCGAGCUGAAGCCAAUCCAAUAAAGUAGUUCUCAGUUCGGAUUGCAGGCUGAAACCCGCCUGCAUGAAGCUGGAGUUGCUAGUAAUCGCAGGUCAGCAUACUGCGGUGAAUACGUUCUCGGGCCUU